rnacentral:rRNA from 1 species
GCUGGGGUUCCACCUUGCUUGUGCAGCCCGCCGUUGCGUCUGGUUGGGUGUCUUUAAACGGAUGCCCAUCUUUGGACGUGACCCCUUUACCUUGAACAAAUCGGAGUGCUCAAAGCAGGCUCCUUUCGCUCGAACGGUAGCGCAUGGAAAUAAUGGAAAAGGACCCGCUUUCUUUUCUGUUGGUCUAACGAAAGCAGGUAAUGAUCAAGAGGGACGGAUGGGGGCAGAGGUAUGGCUCGGCGAGAGGUGAAAUUCUUGGACCCCAGCCAGACCCUCGAGAGCGAAAGCAUCUGCCAAAGAUGUUUCCAUUGAUCAAGAACGAAAGUCGCGGGAUCGAAGCGGAUUAGAGACCCGGACGUAGUCGCGACCGUAAACGAUGCCAACCGGGAAUUUGACAGCGUUACUUCCAUGACCUGCCAAGCGCCCGACCCGGGAAACCGAGAGUUUUUGGGUUCCGGGGGGAGUAUGGUUGCAAAGCUGAAACUUAAAGGAAUUGACGGAAGGGCACCACCAGGAGUGGAGCCUGCGGCUUAAUUUGACUCAACACGGGGAACCUCACCCGGCCCGGACACCGCGAGGAUUGACAGACUGAGAGCUCUUUCUCGAUUCGGUGGGUGGUGGUGCAUGGCCGUUCUUAGUUGGUGGAGCGAUCUGUCUGGUUAAUUCCGAUAACGAACGAGACCCCAUCCUGCUAACUAGCCCUCGGGUCCGGCUUCUGGCGGGCCCGAUGGAAUGACUCGCUUCUUAGAGGGACUCGCGGCGCCUAGCCGCACGAAGGGGGGCGAUAACAGGUCUGUGAUGCCCUUAGAUGUUCGGGGCUGCACGCGCGCUACACUGAAGGCACCAGCGUGCGCUUUGUCCGUUCCCUGCCUGAAAAGGCCGGGUAACCCGCUGAACCGCCUUCGUGCCUGGGAUAGGGAUUUGCAAUUAUCUCCCUUGAACGAGGAAUUCCCAGUAGGCGCGAGUCAUCAGCUCGCGUCGAUUACGUCCCUGCCCUUUGUACACACCGCCCGUCGCUACUACCGAU